rnacentral:rRNA from 1 species
AUAACAUCGAGAAAUUGGUACUAAUACCCCAUAACAUCACCGGAGGCACCUUCGGUGGUUGAAAACUCAGGUGGUCAGAGAUGGACAUGCGUUGUAUUAGCUAGUUGGUGAGGUAACGGCUCACCAAGGCGACGAUACAUAGGGGGACUGAGAGGUCAACCCCCCACAUUGGUACUGAGACACGGACCAAACUCCUACGGGAGGCAGCAGUGAGGAAUAUUGGUCAAUGGACGCAAGUCUGAACCAGCCAUGCCGCGUGCAGGAAGACGGCUCUAUGAGUUGUAAACUGCUUUUGUACGAGGGUAAAUCCCGAUACGUGUAUCGGGUUGAAAGUAUCGUACGAAUAAGGAUCGGCUAACUCCGUGCCAGCAGCCGCGGUAAUACGGAGGAUUCAAGCGUUAUCCGGAUUUAUUGGGUUUAAAGGGUGCGUAGGCGGUUCGAUAAGUUAGAGGUGAAAUCCCGGGGCUCAACUCCGGCACUGCCUCUGAUACUGUCGGGCUAGAGUUUAGUUGCGGUAGGCGGAAUGUAUGGUGUAGCGGUGAAAUGCAUAGAGAUCAUACAGAACACCGAUUGCGAAGGCAGCUUACCAAACUACGACUGACGUUGAGGCACGAAAGCGUGGGGAGCAAACAGGAUUAGAUACCCUGGUAGUCCACGCAGUAAACGAUGAUAACUGGUUGUCGGCGAUAAAAUGUCGGUG